rnacentral:rRNA from 1 species
GACGAACGCUGGCGGCGUGCUUAACACAUGCAAGUCGAACGGAAAGGCGCCUUUGGUGGUUCUCGAGUGGCGGACGGGUGGGUAACACGUGAGUAACCUGCCCUUGACUUCGGGAUAACUUCAGGAAACUGGGGCCAAUACCGGAUAGGAAUCCUUGCUGCAUGGUGGGGGUUGGAAAGCUUCGGCGGUUUUGGAUGGACUCGCGGCGUAUCGGCUUGUUGGUGGGGUGGUGGCUUACCAAGGCGUUGACGGGUAGCCGGCCAGAGAGGGUGACCGGCCACCUUGGGACUGACGUGAGGCCCAGGCGCCGAAUGGAGGAAGCAGGGGGGAAGCUUGAACAAGGGGCGGAGGGUGGAUGAAGAAGGCCCUCGGGCGGGAUAGCGGCCUUCGCGUUGAAAAACGCUUUAAGCAGAGGAGAAGCUUGUAGUGACGGUACCUGCAGAAGAAGCACCGGCUAACUACGUG